rnacentral:rRNA from 1 species
GACGAACGCUGGCGGCGUGCCUAAUACAUGCAAGUUGAGCGCUGAAGGUUGGUACUUGUACCAACUGGAUGAGCAGCGAACGGGUGAGUAGCGCGUGGGGAAUCUGCCUUUGAGCGGGGGACAACAUUUGGAAACGAAUGCUAAUACCGCAUAAAAACUUUAAACACAAGUUUUAAGUUUGAAAGAUGCAAUUGCAUCACUCAAAGAUGAUCCCGCGUUGUAUUAGCUAGUUGGUGAGGUAAAGGCUCACCAAGGCGAUGAUACAUAGCCGACCUGAGAGGGUGAUCGGCCACCAUGGGACUGGGACACGGCCCAAACUCCUACGGGAGGCAGCAGUAGGGAAACUUCGGCCAUGGACGGAAGUCUGACCGAGCAACGCCGCGUGAGUGAAGAAGGGUCUCGGAUCGGAAAACUCUGUUGGUAGAGAAGAACGUUGGUGGGAGUGGAAAGCUCAUCAAGUGACGGUAACUACCCAGAAAGGGACGGCUAACUACGUG